rnacentral:rRNA from 1 species
GUCCUCUUGUUUGUAUAUGAGGUCUGACCUGCCCGGUGAAAAUUAUUUUAACGGCCGCAGUAUUUUGACUGUGCAAAGGUAGCAUAAUCAUUAGUCUUUUAAUAGGGGGCUGGAAUGAAGGGUUUGACGAGGUGUUAACUGUCUCAUUAAAUUUGUUAUUAGAAUUUAACUUUAUAGUCAAAAGGCUAUAAUUAUAUUGGAAGACGAGAAGACCCUAUAGAGCUUUAUAAUUAAAGAUUUAAUUAUUAUUUGUUUAUUAUUUUUUAUUAUUUUUUUAAUUAUUUUGUUGGGGUGACAAAAAUAUAUAAUUAACUUUUUUAUUUAAUAAACAUUGAUUGAUGAUUAUUAGAUCCAAUCUUAUUGAUUGUUAGAUUAAGUUACC